rnacentral:rRNA from 1 species
AGAGUUUGAUUAUGGCUCAGGAUGAACGCUAGCGGCAGGCCUAAUACAUGCAAGUCGAACGGGAUAAGCCCUUCGGGGGCUUUGAGAGUGGCGCACGGGUGCGUAACGCGUAUGCAACCAACCCCUUUCCGGGGGACAGCCGGUGGAAACGCCGGGUAAUACCCCAUGCCAACGUCUAUGGACAUCCAUUAACGUUGAAAGACUUCGGUCGGAGAGGGACGGGCAUGCGUCCCAUUAGCUGGUUGGCGGGGCAACGGCCCACCAAGGCGAUGAUGGGUAGGGGAUCUGAGAGGACGGUCCCCCACACUGGUACUGAGACACGGACCAGACUCCUACGGGAGGCAGCAGUAAGGAAUAUUGGGCAAUGGGGGUAACCCUGACCCAGCCAUGCCGCGUGAGGGAAUAAGGCCCUACGGGUCGUAAACCUCUUUUGCUCGGGGACAAGGACGUCGUCGUGAACGGCGUUUGCGGGUACCGGGCGAAUAAGCAUCGGCUAACUCCGUGCCAGCCGCUGC